UACGUAGGGUGCGAGCGUUGUCCGGAAUUAUUGGGCGUAAAGAGCUCGUAGGCGGUUUGUCGCGUCGACUGUGAAAACCUACAGCUUAACUGUGGGCUUGCAGUCGAUACGGGCAGACUUGAGUUCGGUAGGGGAGACUGGAAUUCCUGGUGUAGCGGUGAAAUGCGCAGAUAUCAGGAGGAAUACCGAUGGCGAAGGCAGGUCUCUGGGCUGAUACUGACGCUCAUGCACGAAAGCGUGGGGAGCAAACAGG
rnacentral:rRNA from 1 species